rnacentral:rRNA from 1 species
GAUGAACGCUGGCAGCGUGCCUAACACAUGCAAGUCGAGCGAUUCUCUUCGGAGAAGAGCGGCGGACGGGUGAGUAACGCGUGGGUAACCUGCCCUGUACACACGGAUAACAUACCGAAAGGUAUGCUAAUACGAGAUAAUAUGCUUUUAUCGCAUGGUAGAAGUAUCAAAGCUCCGGCGGUACAGGAUGGACCCGCGUCUGAUUAGCUAGUUGGUAAAGUAACGGCUUACCAAGGCGACGAUCAGUAGCCGACCUGAGAGGGUGAUCGGCCACAUUGGAACUGAGACACGGUCCAAACUCCUACGGGAGGCAGCAGUGGGGAAUAUUGCACAAUGGGCGAAAGCCUGAUGCAGCAACGCCGCGUGAGCGAUGAAGGCCUUCGGGUCGUAAAGCUCUGUCCUCAAGGAAGAUAAUGACGGUACUUGAGGAGGAAGCCCCGGCUAACUACGUGCCAGCCGCCGCAGUAA